rnacentral:rRNA from 1 species
GACGAACGCUGGCGGCGUGCUUAACACAUGCAAGUCGAACGGAAAGGCCCUGCUUUUGUGGGGUGCUCGAGUGGCGAACGGGUGAGUAACACGUGAGUAACCUGCCCUUGACUUUGGGAUAACUUCAGGAAACUGGGGCUAAUACCGGAUAGGAGCUCCUGCUGCAUGGUGGGGGUUGGAAAGUUUCGGCGGUUGGGGAUGGACUCGCGGCUUAUCAGCUUGUUGGUGGGGUAGUGGCUUACCAAGGCUUUGACGGGUAGCCGGCCUGAGAGGGUGACCGGCCACAUUGGGCCUGAGAUAGGGACCAGAAUGCUACGGGAGGCAGCAGUGGGGAAUAUUGCACAAUGAGCGGACGCCUGAUGCAGCAACGCCGCGUGCGGGAUGACGGCCUUCGGGUUGUAAACCGCUUUCGCCUGUGACGAAGCGUGAGUGACGGUAAUGGGUAAAGAAGCACCGGCUAACUACGUG